UGGCAGGUAGCCUAGUGGUUAUGUAACAGGGUUAUAUUGGUGAUUCCCCUUGUCACUUUAUUGUUAAGCCAAUGGGUUUUUGGUUUGAGUUUGUCUUGCCUUCACCUACUCAACAUGGCAUCUUAUUGGCUGGUUUGCGUAGCUUGCUUAUGAGGGGGGAUGUUCCAGUUAGAAUCGUCCCAGUGAACAAGCACCAAACCAGCGUGGCUAAAUGCGGGGGCACCAACUGUGCUGUCAGUCUGCAGUCUUUCCACUCCAGCUCUUCUGCAGGGCCGAUCACUGAUCAAUCCUUCGGCCGUAUGAAUCUCUCCCGUCAAAUGGAUUACUGUGCUACCGAGUGACAGAGGAUGUUCAAUGUGCUAGCCUGAUGCUAUAGAGCGUCUAUCAUGUUGUAUUUGUCUACCUUAUUGAGACAGGUAAGAAGUGUAGGAGGAGAGGAUGUUCAAUGUGCUAGCCUGAUGCUAUAGAGCGUCUAUCAUGUUGUAUUUGUCUACCUUAUUGAGACAGGUAAGAAGUGUAGGAGGAGAGGAUGUUCAAUGUGCUAGCCUGAUGCUAUAGAGCGUCUAUCAUGUUGUAUUUGUCUACCUUAUUGAGACAGGUAAGAAGUGUAGGAGGGGAGGUAAAGUCAGAAGGGUAAACAUGGGGAUUGAACUCCGGUCUCCGGUGGGGAGACACACACACAACAUAUUAUGUGACUAGCCAUAGCUUUGGACAUACAGUUGUGAACUGCUAUUUGUGUUUUAUUUCAGCAAUAUCGUCCUCAUUGAUAUAAUAGGAUGACUGAUGCCAUUGAGAUUAAAAGCACCCUAGAUUGUAA